GUGGGGAAUUUUGGACAAUGGGCGCAAGCCUGAUCCAGCAAUGCCGCGUGCAGGAAGAAGGCCUUCGGGUUGUAAACUGCUUUUGUACGGAACGAAACGGUCCUGGUUAAUACCUGGGGCUAAUGACGGUACCGUAAGAAUAAGCACCGGCUAACUACGUGCCAGCAGCCGCGGUAAUACGUAGGGUGCGAGCGUUAAUCGGAAUUACUGGGCGUAAAGCGUGCGCAGGCGGUGCUGUAAGACAGGCGUGAAAUCCCCGGGCUCAACCUGGGAAUUGCGCUUGUGACUGCAGUGCUGGAGUACGGCAGAGGGGGAUGGAAUUCCGCGUGUAGCAGUGAAAUGCGUAGAUAUGCGGAGGAACACCGAUGGCGAAGGCAGUCCCCUGGGCCUGUACUGACGCUCAUGCACGAAAGCGUGGGGAGCAAACAGGAUUAGAAACCCCGGUAGUCC
rnacentral:rRNA from 1 species